AAAGGAAUGUUGUCUAAUUAUGAAGACUAAGUUUAACUCCAGAAAAAGAGAGAAGAAAACAUAACUCUUUCCCUUCACUGGGGUGGAAUUUCCAUAUUUUUCAGAUGCUCAGGAGACAUAGGACACUGAAUUGACAAUAGUCAUUAAAGAACUGAAAGAUCAUCACCCAGAAGGCAGCAGAGAGAUGCAUGAUGGUAUGGAGUUCAAAAGUCAUGGGAGUUGAGGAAGAUGAACUAGAAGACCAGGAUACUCACAAAGAUAUUGAGGUAGAAACAAUUCCCCAAACUCUGACCCAGGUCCUGAACUUAUCGGGGGUGGUCAUGGAGAUCCAUAGAUGACAACAAGAAUCUGGCCAGGAUGGAGUGAACUUUAAAUGAGGAGAGUUGCUUGCUGAUUGCUGUAGCAGAGAGGUCUAAAAGUGAUGGUGGGGAAUAAAGAUUAUGUGAACUCCA
rnacentral:lncRNA from 1 species